UCGAGUUGUAAUUUGAAGAUACGUUUUUGACGUUCCGGGUUGAACUAAAUCCUUUGGGAUAAGGUAUCAUGGAGGGUGAGAAUCCCGUAUAUACCAACCRUAGGGAUGUUAUUUAAUACGUUUCUAAGAGUCGAGUUGUUUGGGAAUGCAGCUCUAAAUGGGUGGUAAAUUUCACCUAAUGCUAAAUAUAAGCGAGAGACCGAUAGCGAACAAGUACAGUGAUGGAAAGAUGAAAAGAACUUUGAAAAGAGAGUUAAAUAGUAYGUGAAAUUGUUGAAAGGGAAACGAUUGAAGUCAGUCAUGCCAGUGGGAAUCAACUUAGAGGAAACUCUGAGUGCACUUCUUCGCUUGGCAGGUCAACGUCGAUUUUGGAUGUCAUAAAAUGAUUGGGGGAAGGUAGCUCCUUCGGGAGUGUUAUAGCCCUUGGUAGAUGUGAUGUCUGGGAUCGAGGAUUGCAAUGGAUACCCUUUGGGGCUAGCCGCCUGAUCUCUAAUYGGUAUUGGGUUACGGAUAGCAUGCUGACCGUGAUCUAAUUAUUGGUUAAAAGGU
rnacentral:rRNA from 1 species